rnacentral:rRNA from 1 species
UGCCAGCCGCCGCGGUAAUACGGGGGGUGCAAGCGUUGUUCGGAAUUAUUGGGCGUAAAGAGCGUGUAGGCGGCCUGAUGUGUCAGAUGUGAAAGCCCUGGGCUUAACCCAGGAAGUGCAUUUGAAACUGUCAGGCUUGAGUAGGGGAGGGGGAAGUGGAAUUCCUGGUGUAGAGGUGAAAUUCGUAGAUAUCAGGAGGAACACCGGUGGCGAAGGCGACUUCCUGGCCCUAUACUGACGCUGAGACGCGAGAGCGUGGGUAGCAAACAGGAUUAGAUACCCUGGUAGUCCACGCUGUAAACGAUGUUCACUGGGUGUUGGGGGUAUUGACCCCCUCAGUGCCGGAGCUAACGCGUUAAGUGAACCGCCUGGGGAGUACGGUCGCAAGACUAAAACUCAAAGGAAUUGGCGG